CCAUCCCUAAGGCCUAAGCAUGACAACAGGUUUUUACCUCCCACAAACUCAAACCUGAAUCCCUAAAUCAUCUUCGUUCCCCGUCCCAAUCCCAAACGGAAAUGGAGAAUCAAAAUCCAAAACCGUCACAAACGGGUUCGGUUUGGGUUUGGAUAUCCCCGUCUUGCCACCAUUCAUUUAGUAAAAUUAAUUUUUUUAAUAGAAAUGUUUAUUUUUCUAAAAUAAAAUUACAUUACAAAUAAUAAAAUAAAACAUUCUAAAAUCGGGGAAAACCCAAACUCAAUCAAAGCGGAUUUUUCUCAUCAAAUUUGGGACGGAUUUGGGUUGGUACCCGCGGGUACGGGUUAUGUUACCAUGCCUACCAAGAUCCAUUCGAAAGAGGGGGUGCAACGGCUCAUGUGGAGUGUAUUUCCCAGAAUGUUUAGGCCUUUGGCCAAACCCAAUCUAAAGCAUAAAUAGUACAGUAAAUUAUCACCAGCCAGGGUCGGACAAAAACGCAACAAGCUCAGACGCAAAAACACUUCUACUCAUAAGUUGGCCAUUUCAACAAACUGGAGCAGAUGAAAACUCUUCUCACAAGAAGGAAAGAGACGUUUCUCAAAAGGUUGCGGUCUCUCCACCAUUUCAAAACCUUCAUUCACUUGGACCGAAACUUUACCUCCGAUAAGGGCAAUAAACCGAAGGCCACACGAUCAUCCAAAACGCCCCAUUCCCCUCCUUGGCGCGCAUAGAAGCGAGGACGGUGAAGUCCACUCCGAUGCUGUGCGAAACAAAUUCACGUGCGAAAUCUGAGUGAAGACUCAAAAAAAUGCGAGCCAUUUGACGACGGUGACGUUUCGGAUCGAGGCGUUGAUCUCUCACUCUCAUCUCCUUCCCAGUUUUUAGUUCAACAACAACGAUUUUUCCGAUUCAUCAUGUCUACGUAUAAAAGAUGAGCAAAAAGAGAGCAAAGGCCUACCGGAAAUAGAUCUUUGAUGCGGUGGUUCUUCUACGGCUACGACGACGGCUUUACCGGUAAGGCUUCUUCCAUCUUCUUCCUCGUUUCACUUCUUCUUCUUCUCAGUGCAUGUAGUAUUUAGGGAAUGAGGAAUGAAUUAUAGAUCAAGAUAGAAUGAUGUGAGAUUCUCAUAGAUGAACUGUAAAGAAAGAGCUUCAAUCUUUGAGUUUGAGAGCAAAGAGCAUUCAAUUCUGAAUAUGAGAGUGAAGAAUCUUUGAUUCUGGUGCAGAGUUUCGAUCCAAAUGAGAUUGGAGUAUAAGAGAGAGUUGAGAGUGAAGAGUGGUAUGGGAUUUCUGUGAUUCUUUGCUUUGGGAUUUUGAUGAACUGGGUUGAAAUGAAUGAAGAGUGCAGAGCAUUGUGUUCUCGCAAAUGGUGAUUGAAAAAAUCAUCUGGUGAAUGAUGAAUGUGUUUAAAUAGACAGUUGGAUUUAACAGAGAUAAACUUUGUUAAAUCGUGCUUAGUUCAAAUCGGUUGAGGGUUAGAAGUUCUGUUUAAAAAAUUAGGAUUCAUUAUGUCAGUUUGUUAGAGUGGUUAAAAAUGCAAAUUCUGUUAUAAUGAAAUGAAGAUGAAUUUGAGUUAAUUGCAAAUGUGAAUUUCAGUUAGAUUUUGGUUUUUGAUUCUCUGCAUUGCUUCUGUAGUGUAUGGUGGGACUUGAUUUUGUUCUUGUUUGGAAAAUUAUGCAGGUGAAUUAGUGAUUGCCAAUGAUUCUGCAGAAGGGUCUUUGCGUUUCUGCUAUGUUGUUGUUGUACUCAACUUUUUCUCUUUUUAUUAUUUGGACAGGAUUGUGGAUAUUAUAACUGGUUUGGAUAAUUUGGACAUUUGUAAAGGAUAAUUUGGAUAUUGUUUUGGAUUGGUAAUGGAUAAUUGGAUUAGCUAAAUGGGCUUAUGUACUGAUGAAUCAUGAAACAUGUAGUCGAGAAUCAAAUGGAUGAUUUGAAUGAUCAACACUAUGAAACCAUGAUCCUCUAGUGAACUUAAUGAAUGACAUGAUGCAGAUCAUAAUGACUAAACAACCCCUCCCAUGAGCAGGGGUUUCACAAUCCUCAAACCAAACCAAUAAGGUUUUGAGCAUACACCAAGUAAUGAGGCUCACAGCCCUUACGAACCAACAAGCUAGGGUUCUAUAUGGAUUGAACUCCAAAAGCCAAGCUCCAAUGCCUCAAGCAUCUAUCACCUAGGGUCUUGAUUAAUCUUCAAUCCAAAAUUCUACCAAGCAAGUCAUUUGAACACCAAUUACCCCUUAUUAGGGUUUUAAACCAAGCAUAAAGCUACUCAAAUACAUAUCAAGCCAUUGACCCGCCAUUAGGGUACAUAAGUCAAGUUAAGAGAUGAUUGGUUCCAGAUACACAUAGCGUGAUGCAUACCAUAAUGGACAAAUGUAGGGUUCCAGAUGCACAGAUGAUAGCUUCAUGAGUGUCAACCCCAUGUAAGAUCAAGAACUAGGGUUUUAAAUCUAUGAAAGAAUGCCAUGAUUGUAGUCUUCUUGCACCAAGGUCCAAAAGGGCAUGGAAUUAGGGUUUGUAUUCCUUGUAGUGAGCAAUUCCACAUUCUUCAGACAAAACCCCAGUUUUAAUUAACCCCCAACUUUAAAUCUAUGAGAUUAACAUGAAUGCAUGAUACAGAUGAAUUUCAAGUCAUAGGUUGGAUAAAAUAUGGAGAAGGAGAAGGCAAAUUUUGGGGUACGACUCCUGGGAGUAGAAGUAUAUAGAGAGUAAGAGUUUGGUGUGAUUGUUUAGAAUUAAUAAGAAUUUUAAUUAAUUAUUAGAAUAAAUAAUAUUUUAUUCGAAUUAAUUAAAUAAAUAGUAAAAUAAUAGAAUUUGGCCAUUUGUGAGAUUUGGAGAAAUAGAGGGGAGCAAUGAGUUAGAGAGCUGGGGAAAUUGUGUGAAUUAAGAAAGUUAAGGAUUAACGAGGUAGUUGUAAGGAAGUGUUAGAAAAUCCUAAGGAUAUAUUGGGAGUAAAAGGAAAUUAGCCUAGUUUUGUCAGUACGUGAAAUUUGAGAAAAAAGGCAAAAGGAGAGAAAUAAAAAAGCUAGGAAUUUGAAGAAUGAACCAUAGAGAUUGCUUGGCUCAUCAUUAAUUGUUGGAAAUCUAAGGUAAGGGGGAGAAAGUGAUACCAAUUAGGUCUAUUGCAUGAUGGGGUAGAGAUGAGAAGUCCUUAAUCUCAUUCAGGUUCUAGGUUUUCUUUUGAUGAUUGUUAUAUGAUGAAAUUCUGAAAAUUGAUUGGUUGCUCUUGUGUUUAUAUGUGUUGUUAUGAUUGAAUUCAUGUUUGAAUGAUCAUGAAUAUGUAUGUAUGAGGUUAUGUCAUUGAUGAGAAUGUGAAAGCUUGAGUUUUAUUCAUGAUUGAUGAUGAAUUUGAUGUUAAAAUUAUAGAUGGGAUUGCUACGGAUUAUAGUGAAAUAAGUGUUGUUUAUGUUAAUGAUUAUGCUAACAUGAAUCACUGUCAAAUUCGUUUGUUAAUCAAUGGAUUUAGGGAAAAAAAUAGUUAGAGACAUGUAUGAAGGUUUAGGGGUAAGACGGGGGGAGAUCGUAUGAUGAAAACUGGAAUUUUUGGAAAAAAAACUAUAGUGACAAUCGAUUGCACUAGAUGACAAUUGAUUGUAUCAGUUGAAUUUUGAAAAGAAAUAACAGUGCAAUCAAUUGCACCAUAUGACAAUCGAUUUCAUACCCUAGAAAAGUGAUUUGGGUGAAGUCAGUAGAGAAAUAUGUUUUGGUGACAAUCGAUUGUCAUAGGCCAAAUAGUGAAAAAUUAUCCUUUUGUUUUUGUUGCAUUGUCCGACGAUUUUGGCCGUAUCUUUUGAUCCGUAGGUCCAAAUGAUGCACCAUUUGAAGCGUUGGAAAGUAAACAUGCAGAGUUAUGCCAUGGUAGUGCUUGGUCAAAUGUUUGAGUCAUAGUAAUUUACCUACUGUAGGGGUGUUUGUGCUGACUUGUAUGAUUAGUUAGUGAAUCAUUAUGUUUCUAGGAUGGUGUGUUGUUGUUUUAAUGAAGGAACAUGAAUGAAUGCCUAUGACAUUAAUUUGGGUGAGUUGUUGCAGUUUUUUUUUGUUUAUUGAUGUUAUAACAUUGAUUAAUUAUUGUGUAUGAUAAAUGAUGAGUGCAUAAAUGGUGAUAUGUGCUUGUUAAUGCUUUUAGCGAACCUUUUUGGUGAAAAUACAUGUUGUUGAGAGUCAUGCAUCAUGGUGUACAGAAUUCAGAUAUGUUUUGGUGUGUUAUGGUCCAGUGGUAUAUAUCAGAAGUGAGUAGCCUAUUCUAUUUUGGAAUUGGUAAAGCGUUACUUAUGGUGAUGGUAACGAACUUUGGCAUGCUCUGGUCCUAUGAUGGGGAUCGGGAGCGAGUAACCGAUUUAAGGUAAGAAUCGGUGAAGUGUUACCUAUGGUAAUGGUAACAAAAUUUGGUGUGCGCUGGUCCUAUGGUGGGGAUCGGGAGCGAGUGGUCAAUUUUAGGUGGGAAUUGGUGAAGCAUUACCUAUGGUGAUGGUAACGAUUUGGCGUCUCUAGUCCUAUGGUGGGGAUCGAGAACGUGAUGAGCAUGAGUGUUCAUGAAUGGUACUUCAUGCAUAAUGAGUCAGUCGUGGAGUAUAUUUACAUACAUGACUGCAUAUGUAGUUGAGUUUUCAUGAUGGUGUUGAUUAGAUGUGAAUAUGUAAAUGUUGUCAUGAUUUGAGUGUGAGAACAUGUUGUUGAUUGGAUGUGAAUAUGUAAAUGUUGUCAUGAUUUGGGUGUGAGAACAUGUUGUUGAUGAAUGUGUAAUGAAUAUGUGUUUGUUGUGUAUUCUCGACCUUUGCAUUCUUUACACUAUGUAUAUUAGUUUAUUGUUUCUCACCUCCUUUUCUUUGAUGUUGUCCACCAUGGACAUCUUGCAGAUACUCAAGAGUAGAGUUUGCUGGUGUAAGUGGAAGUUAGCUCAUGGAGUUACUUCGUUUAGUUUUUUAUGUUAGAAGUCUUGCUCUGAUUCUGUAAUAUUGGGGUCGUGAACGUUAUUUGAUUAUCACGUUUUAUUUGAGUUUAAACCUUUAAUUUGUUCUGUGUUGGAGUUGUUGAGAGUUGCUUAUGAGAACUGCGUUUUUAAAAAUAUUAUAUUUAAGUGGAAAUUUGAGACUAAAUGUCUUGUUGUGGCAGUUUUAGUUAAUUCGAAAUAGGAACGAUGUUGCCGCAAUGAUACCCUGGGUGAAGGUGAGUGUGCGAUGACAGGUGUUGAUUGACAUUAGUAAUUUUGUUGUAAUGUUUCGUUGACUGUUAAAUGUUUGUUUUGUUAAAGUUUUUGUCAUUGGUGACACAUUUGAUUGUCGUGUAAUUCUUAAAAUAUAAGUUUCGGGAUUUAGGGUGUUACAUAUCCCUCCAUUCGCCGAAGUAUCAUACUUUGCCGAGAUCUUUUCCUUUAUUUUGGUUGCGCUUUCAUCGUCGCUGUUAUUGAUUUACAUUCAUUACAUGUUUAUUGGUAAUAAUUUGUAGUAUUUUAUGGUUAAUUGUUGGAUUUUUGCACCUAGGGUUUGAAUUUGGAACACGACUUGAUCUAAAUUUUUAGUGGUUUUUUGGUCAAAUUGAUUGCAAAUUAGGGUUUAGGAAGGGAUUUUAGGUAAUGUUGAUGUUUUUUGGAUUUGGAGUGUUUUUGUGGAUUUCUGGGAAUGGUGGGAUGAACAUGCUAGAUGUUUAUCUGUGUUCAUUGUGUCCUCCCCAAGGACCACCGUGUUUAAUCCUUUUGGUGGUGGAAUAUUGGUGUAAAUUUAUUUGUGUGGCGGUGCUCUCUCUCUCUCUCUCUCUCUCUCUCUCAUGAGGGGAGGGGUAUGGAUUAAGAGAGAGAAUGAGAGUUCAGGAUAAGCUCUCUCUCAUGUGUCCUUUUUUUACCUGGCCAUCCUUCAUUUCCUAGGGUCACACGUGAAGGCCCUGAUCACUGUUCGAUUCAUUGACCUAGCCAUGGUUGACCGGGCCUUAUAUGUGCCUCUCCAACCUAUACCAUGCACCUGGCUCAUUUAUGAACUUUUGAUCUGCAUGCAGUUAGAUCAUGAGUCUGGGGUUGAGUUAACCUAGUUGAAUCCCUCAGACCUCUCUCUUGGGCUUGCAAUGCCUGGGCCUUCUUGAGCCUCGUGACUAUUAACACCCCCUAUCUCUUUUAUUGUUGUGCAACUUCUUUUUUUAUUUUUGUUUUGGAUUGUUGUUAGGGCCUUGGUGCAUGUUUUUUUUUACUAUCCUCAUAAUCCCAUAAUACUAUCUGCACCCCUCCUAUUUUCAAUACAACCAAUUUUUUUAUUAUUUCCUUUUGAUUUAUUUUAAGUCAUUUGGCCAAUGCUUGUCUAUUUUUUUUCUGCUAUUUCCAUAAUCCCAUAUUCCUCUCUUGCACCUCUCAUCACUUAUUUAUUUUAUUUUAUCAUUUUAUUUAUUGCUUAAAUUAAUUAAAUAAAUGUUUGGUAAAUGAAUAUUUUCAAUAUUAAAAACCAUUAAUCCAACGUCAAAUGGUAUUUUUAAAAUUAGUUUCUUUCGAUCGAUUUUGAAUUAAAGGAAAUCAAACCUCAAUCUAUAUCGAAUGAAUUUUUCAAAUCAAAAUAAAAAUACUUAAUCAUUUUGAAUAUAUUUUCACAAAGAGGAUGAAAAAGGAAUGGUCUAGUGUCUACUAUUUAUUUCCUGAUUGCUUUGAUACGAGUUGUCUAGCUCGACUGUCCAAGCAUUUGUCAUCCGUCUAAAAAUAUUAAAGCAAUUCAUCUUAAACCUCUUUCAUAAUCAAAACUUAAGUGAUCUUAUUUUCAUAAUAAAUCAGAUGAAAAAGGAACAAUCUAGUGUCUAGUAUUAUUUUCCCUGAAUACUUGGGUUCGAGGUGUAUAGCUCGACCAUUUAAGUAUUCGUAUUCCAUUAAAAACACCUAAACCAUAUUUAACCAUUUUUUAAAUUAAUUAGGUGAAAAAGGAAGGGUCUAGUGUCUACUAUUCUUUUCCCCAAUUGUUUGGAUACGAGUCAUCUAGUUCGACCAUUCGACCAUUUGUCAUCCACUCAAAAAUAAACGUCAACACAUCAGACUUACUUUUUCUCGCCCAAAUGCUUAAGGCUCCAAUCGUGAGCAUACAAGUAAAGUUUAACCACUAGAACGUUAUCUAAACAUUCGUUCAAUAAAAUCAACCAACCAACACAUAGUUUUCUACAAAGAACUACAUAUCUUUAAAUUCCUCAUCGCACCUGAGAAUAUGUAGGAGCAAAACCCGCAAACUUGUCAAGUACCCUAAUAAAAGCCUUUUUGCGACCCAUUUUCCUUUCCUUUUGAAUUUUUAAUCAUUCAAAUAAAAAAAUGGCAUACGCUAACAUUCUAAUAGCAAAUCUAACUAAAUAAUUCUCGUUGAGUACAACGGAUGUGAAGGGUGUUAGUACAUUUCCUUUGUAUAAUCGACUCCCGAACCCGAAUUUGGUUACAACGACCAUUUUCUUCUUUCUUUUAAGGGCUUUAUCAAUAUUUUCCAUUUUGUUUUGGAAUAAAUAAACAUAAGCGGUGACUAUGUUUAUCAUCUCAAGCGUGUGAGCACUUCAGGUCAUUUUCACGUUGCGGCAUCUGGCGGCUUUGUUGGGGAAUACGCUUUAGCUAGAGAGUCAAGCCUAAUUUGGUUAACUUUACGAUUAAUAUGUUGGAUUUGUUUAAUUAUUUUCCUCUAUCUAUUUUAUUAUGUGUCAUUAUUGUUGCUUGUUCAUAUGCUAUGGACGGGGUAUUUGAUUAUUGGCACUGUGUGAGAUAGACUCUACAUCCGAGUUUGAGAAAAACUUAGGAUUAAGAUAAUGGUUGUGUAGUAUCAGUCAGCGAGGUGUAUACCUCGUUGGGAUGGUACGAAGACCCCGCCUAGAGUAGACCAUCUUAGAGGUAUUGUUGUCUGAUGAGUCUUCAUCGAGGCGAUAAUAUUUUCAUAUAGGAUCGAUGACUCUAUUAACCUUUUUAGAACCUUGGAGUCGAUGGUUGUGUAAUGUCGACCUGCAAGAUGUAUGCCUCGUGGGGUUGAUAUGAAGAUCUCACCAAGAAGAGAUCGUCUUGAGGGUAUCACUUUCUGACAAGUCUUCGUCAAGGCGGUGAUAUUCUCGAUAAGCGUCCACGACUCUAGGAACCUACAACGAUAUAGCCUACCUAUGAGGUCCCAUUAAUCAGAGGUACAUGUAUAUUCUCCUAUUUUUUACUAUGAUUGACCUGAAGUUGAUAUACGUGUGAUCCUGAACCAUGCAUAUGCAUUGCAUUUUCAUGAACAUAACACUUAGCAUUUGAAUUUUUGUUUCCAGGGAAUCUAAGAGACUAUAGUUAUAAGCAUUCGAGAGUAUGGGCUCAGGUAGAAGAAACAUAUACUCAUGCUGAUUCAGAUCUCCUAAGCUGGGCAGUUUGCUAGAGUUGGUUUCUCGACUACAUCCACUUAAUAAGACCAACUUUGAGGCAGAACAUGGGAAUCUCCUAGGCCUCUUAAGUCAAGAAGUAGAUUCACUAGAACUUCUGACACUAGCUCCAUUUUAUGAUCCUCCAUUGAAAUUCUUUACUUUCUAAUAUUUCCAUAUAGCUCCUACAUUAGAUUUUUUUUUAAAAUCUUGUGGGUAUCAACAUGAAGAACCAACUUAAUUUCCUUGGUAUAGAAGAGUUCCCUAAGCAUGAAUUCAUAGUUGUUACUUUACAUAUGAACAAGUAAGAUAUCACUCUCAACCUAGAGACCAACGGAAACACUCAGGGUUUCUCAAUCAAGUUCCUAGUGGAAAAAGCUCCUACCUUUGUUGACACCCAAAGUUGGGAAGCAUGUUAUGUUAUGUUAGCACUCUCUAUCUAUGGGGCCGUCUUAUUUCCAAACAUUGUCAAUUUUGUAUAUAUGAUAGCCAUAUGCAUUUUCCUCACAAAGAACUCAGUUCCCACUUUGUUAGCUGGUGUGUACUACUAUUUCAUCCUAAGACAUGAAAAGAGAGGAAGAACAGUUCUUUGUUGUGCUCUUUUGCUAUACAGGUGGUUAUUGACUUACCUCCCAAAGAAUGGACCUUUUAUGGAUCAGUAAAAUAGUUCCAGUUAGCCUCAAAGAAUAGGAUACCUCUGAGAAAAUGAUGUAUCAUGGUAUUCAUGAGAUUAUGAUGGCAUUGAGAUCGUCUUCGGAUGUGAGGAAUUCCCAACAUACCAUUCAUUAAGACCCCGAGGUGGCAACAACUCCAACCCAGUCUUAUCUUUAAGAUAAUUUGGGUACCCAAUAGAGAACCCGCCAAAGGAGAGGAUGUUAGAAGCUUUCAUCUUGCAUGACCUUGGGGUUAAGAACCCAACCAUGUUCAAGAAGAUCAAGAAGGCUUGGGGAAGAAUCAGUAUGAAAAAGGAAAGUUGAGCUUGGAAAUGAAAAAUUCAUUGCCAUAGAGCCUUACACCAAUGGAUAAGGGAAAGGGUGAAGUUGAUCAAGUUACCCUUUAGAAUUGAGGUUCCUAUUCCACCUCCAAUGUCUGGGCCUACUCGCAUUCUGAUAGAGGAAGCAGAGGAACUCAUGGCUACCAUCUCCAAGAUUUAGGAAGAGAAGAAAGAGUUACAUUUGAAGCUUAACCAAGUAACCUAUGACAGAAACGGGCUCAGAUUUGAUCUUGGCCAAAGGGAGAAAUAACUUGGAAAAAGUGAGGAAGUCAGUGCAAAUGAAAGUAAGAAAUGAAAAAAUAGUUGGGGAAUGCCUGGUAGGGGCAAGCCCUAAGCUUAGUAAGAGAAACCAGGAGCUCUGAGAUUCCAAACAAACGAAUAGUGAGUGGAAGAGUCUUUGGGGUAGUACUUUGGAAUGACAGAAGAAGAUGAGGGUGGGAUUUGAAGCUCGAAUCCAAUAGCUCACUUAGCUACUCCAAGAAUCCCAAGAUCAUGCAGCUCAUGAGACUUGUCUCCAAGAAGAGAUUGGUAGGACUUCCUCAAACCCUUAUGCUAGCCUCAACAAGGCCCUCAAGGAAGUGAAGAGUCUCAAGCCCUCCAAUCAAAGCUUAAGGGAAGCCACAAAUACUAUAAGGAACUAAUGGGGAUUAAGAUUCCAAAAAAUGGAAAACAUGAUAUGACAAGACAUGAGAAAAUAUUCACCAUGCACCCCUAGAAGUCGGAAAAUAAUAUGGGAGGUUAUUCAAGUAGUCGAGCUUGCCAACCGUUUGUUGUAGACCUUACCUUUGAGGUUGAGAGACACAUUUGAGGAGAUAACACCUGAGAACACUCCUCUGGUCAUAUUUGAUUUCAUCAUUUUCUGUAGACAUAUGGUUAAAGAUCUCCAAGAUGAAUUAGAGUAGCUUAAGAAAGUACGAGGCAAUACUAGUGGCUAGGAGACUUUGUACUUUUACUCUCACACAUUGUAUUUAUCUACAAAUGAAUGAAUGAAAGAUGCAGAUGAAUGUAAUGAACGGACAACAUAAAAUUUAAACGGAUGCGUUUAAUGAUUAAGAAAUUAAAGCAUGGGAUGCACAAACAUAUCACAUACAUAAACAUGUAUACAUCACACAACAUAUUUAGGAAAUAGAAUAAUUACUCAUAUGCAUACUCAAGAAAUAAAUGAAGGUUGGAACAAUCAUACCAAUUUAGAUGAUCUAAGCUUAACUUGUUGCAUAUGAUAUUAAUUGGAAAUCAAUAACAAGAAUAACACAAGAUUUUAAAAACAUGAACAAUCAAAUAUGAAUUGGAUAUAACUCAUAUUGCACAUCUGAAGUACAUUAUCAAACUCUCCUUCAUAAGACUUCAUAUGAACUUUGAAAUGGCAACAUUAUGAUUAUUACUGAUUGACAUAACUUGUCAAUCCCGAAUCACUAAUUCAUAUUUUUGACGAUUGAUUAGAACUUCAAUUAUAUUCCUUGAAUAUUUUGUAGUUGGUUGAAACUUUGGAGAAUCAUUGCCAAUAGCCACAAAACUGCCUUCAUCUUCUUUUUACGAUGACCUUGGAAGACUAGGUCACUAGAAUAUGCUUUUGUUUUCUUAUCCUUUUCUUAUAAUAAUUUCCAGGAUAUUAUAGUGAGAAUUCAUAAUCAUUUUAAUUAGGAUCAAUAUGGAACAAACUUUAAGAAAUAAUGUCAAAACACAUUGCACAUAUCUCAGAGAAAAUGUUAGUUUAAUCUUGGAUGAAUCAAAACUUAGAUAACAUAUCAAAUACAAUUAAUGCUUGAAGAAUAUUCUAGUAAGCUUUUACUUUGAAUUAAUAUGUGUAAUAAACUUAAACAAAUAAUAAAACACAAGUAAAUUAGUGUAGUUUCAUUGGGAUUCAUUAAAUUGCAUGAGCUUCCAAACAAUUUGGAAAACUUGUCUAGGAUCGAAGGAACGAUAUCCUCAACUUUUGGAGUCGUUAGACUUUGAUAAAAAAAAUAGGCUCUGGUGCCAAAUGUUGGGUGAGAAUAUGGUUACAAAAGGGUCUAGAAGGAGGGGUUGAAUAGACUUUUAUUCCCUUAAGACAAUUUUAAAAACUUUUUAGGUCCCAUAAAAGAAAUCAUUGAUUUUAAGAAGCGCAAAAGCAAAACACAAAAACAUGAGAGACUGGAAGAAUCUCAAUGAAUUAACCCACAUGAAAUGGUAUAUGAGGUUACCAUGAGAUUGAUUAUUUCUAGUGCAAGUCACUUACAAGACAACCAAAGCCGCUUUAGACAAAGCGAUUUAAAAUCACAUCACUUAGAUGUUCUUAACAAUGCAUAAUUGACUUCAUAAUGAAUCCAUAAGAUUGAUACACCACAGGCCUAAGCUUAUACAUUAAAUCGUUAUAAGCAUGUUUUAACCUAUAUGGUAUACAAUCAAUGCAAUCAUACAAUGAUGCAACAACAAAUAUGAAUGAAUGCUUGCAAAAUAAAAGAGAUCGGGAAAGAUAAAGAUACACAGAGAUAUAUAGUGCUUCGAAAUUCGUCCUCACUUUGCCUACGUCCAUCCUUCAAUAGAUGAUACCAUCGGAACAUAAUCACGGUCUUCCACUAUUUUGAUGAAAUUGAUUACAAAGAACUAUCACGCGAUAAAUCCCUUUAUUGAUGAAGACAUUAAACUGUCAACAAAAAAUAAAUCCCUCAAGAUCAUGAUCCAAUAACCUUGCUAUGCACAAUAACCUACUCCAAGUAUUCGUGUGUGGCGAUCCCCUGAUCCCACUUAUUUCUUGUUUGAGUGAUUAUAUUUAACUGAGUGUAUAUUUGACAACUUCCAACUUUGUCUACACGCAAUCUUUCUCCAAUGCCACCAAAGAAGGACAACUUCCAACUCCUUCUUACGGACCGUUGAUACUUGAUCUCUCCAGAGUGUUCCUUGGAGUAUAUUGGAAACUCUCUUCUUGAUAGAUAAUAAAUCAAUAUCAAACUACAUUCGAGAAACGACACCUGAACCUAUUACACAACAACCAGCUCCACACAAAAAAUAUUAGAUACCCUAAUGUGCCACUAGUCUCCCUUAACACUCAAUCUUUAGAGAAAAGGUUCACAAUCAAAGGAAAAAGACUAAGGAUGUAGAUGAUAAAUAGUGCCAUAUAAUCUCAACCAACCACUGACAUUAUAAGGUGUUAGUCAAGUAAUUCAGUUUUGGUGAAUGGAGAACACACACACAAGGCUCAAUUAAGUUUCUAGAUGAAUGGGUUCUGGUUCUCUAUUGAUAUUAAGAGCUUGAUAAAUCACAACAAGAUUGAUCAACUCAAUAUGUAACUCACAUAAAGACAACAACCAAUUUUCACAAGAACAAGAUGCAACAAAAAAAUAAUGAGUUGACAUGGAUUAAAUAUCAAGAAGUUGAUUUUAGAGAACAAGAGAGAAACAUGGUGUAAGAAUUAACACACUAAGAAGAGAAGACAAAAUCAUAUUUUUGUCUAUAUGGGUUUCACCAUAGGUCUCACACACUUGUUACUUUCACCAAAAGAAACAACUAUUUAAAUAAGUAUGGAAAUUUGUAUUUUUUUAUUCGUGAUUUGAAUCAAGAAGGAUUUAUGAUUCUAAUCAAUCUGGAUAGGCCCAAAAAGGGUGUUUUUUAAAGCUCAUGAUUCGAAUCAUGAUUUACACUUGAUUCGAAUCAAAUGAGCUUAUGAUUCGAAUCAUGUUCAAUUUGUGAUCCAAAUCAUUAGAUCCAGAAGUGAAUUCCAAUUUUCAAAGGUGAGUGAUUCGAAUCAUAGAUAACACAUGAUUCAAAUCAAAUACCCAAACAUCCAAAUCCAAAUGUUCUAACUUGUGGUUCAAGUUACGCAUGUGGAAAUGAUAAAAGAGUAAUUUCGUGGGCUCAAAAAUGAAAUACUAACAAGGAUAGAAGGAAUGGUACAAAUUAAUAGUAGCCAAAGUGAUUACAAUCAAAUAGAAAUGAUAUAAGCGUACAACACACAGAUGAAAUAACAUUCAAAUUACAAAUAUGUGAUUCUACUUAUAUCAAUCAAUAAUCGAAUUGUAAAAACAUAAAAACAUACAAAUGAUACUCAAAGCACAUAAAUGAUACCAAAUGCUACUUUGUGAUUUCAUGGCUUACAAGUCUUGACUUAUGUGCCCACAUCUAUAUGAGCGAGUAUUUAGGUAGUCCGGGUAUUUGCAUGGUAUCACUAGGAAACCCAUUUUAGUUGUGCCUCCAAUAAUAUACCAUAUAGAUUUUGAUGGGAUAUUUAUGAGUAUCGUGAGCUUUCGGUAUCAUAGGGUGUACAAAAUGUGCCAGCAAUUAGUCCACGUGGUAUGGUAUAUAGUUACAUUUAAUGGUAUUACUGAGUUUUCCACAUGUGUAUGACGUCAAUGCUAGAUGGAGAUCCCCUAAGGCAUGUUCAUCGAAAGAUCUUAAAUUAGGAACAUACUAGUGUGGACCAUGUUUUGGAUGUCUAACCUAGAUGUUGUCACGUCAUCACUAUGCUCGGGGGUGUCAUCGCUAGAGGAGAGGUAUAUGAAGUCGCUCGUAUUUAGGACUUCAUAUAGGGAGAAUUAGCAGAGACACAAUGUGCUCUUUAAUAUAUGAGGCAAAUGAGGAACAUGGGUGUCCAUUAUAGUCAUCAGUUAUACUCUCUUAUAGACCAUUUUGUACUUUUAUAAACUUUUUGAGUUGUCAUUUAUGACAUUGGUCUUAGGAAUUUCAUAAGAAUAUGUGAUUAUGAGUCAACUUAUGUAUGAAAAUCGGUUUUGUAUAUGUUAUCUUGUUUUAUAUGUUUAAACAAAGUGACUUAUAUAUGUUAACUUUUGACUUUAUUGGUGUUACUAAAAACAUGUAUUGUUAUUCAAAUAGAAGAUUUAUAGUUGUAUAAUGGGUUUAUUCAUAUAUUAGUAUAUGGAUUCACCUUGUAGAAAAUAUGUUUACUAUACGAGGUUUAUAGUUGAUCAGGGGUUUGUUCUGAUAGUAAUAUGUUAAUACACAAUGUGUUUAAAUAUGUUGAUAAACAUGAUUAUUAGCUAAGUCCGUGUUUUUUUAUAAUAAUAUCUAGAUACAUUUUGCGCGUAAAAUAUGUUGGAUAAUCAUGAUUGUUAGUUGAGUCAGGGGUUUGUCUGAAUAGUAAUAUUCAGAUACACAUCGCAUAUUGCUAAUAUAUUUAACCAAUCUCUCAAAUUUAAAACUGUACAUACUAGAAAAAUAUCUCAUGCAUUGUCAACUCAAUGAAAAUUGUGCCAUACUCAUUUACUACAAGAUGGUAUAUUUUACGGAAACACAUUCAUUUUUCACUCGAUACUAGAAGACCAAUUCUACCAGGAAUAUAGCUUCUAAUGUAUCGUUGUAUAAUUUUUUAUUCUCAUAUAACCCCGUGUAAUCUUCCUUGUAAGAAGGUAACUCUUUCAUUAGAUGUUUACAAACAAGUUUAUGAUUCUCCUCCCUAUUAUCUAAACGACUGACAAUAAAAUGACCGACUUACUUGUUAUUCACUCCAUGAUAACGUACAAUGCACAAUAUAUUAAAUGUCCAAACAUUUUUGACUAAGUGGUAACGGCGCAAAAUAAAAUGACGAUCACACUUUCUUAUUUCGGUGUCAUAAUAUUUUAAUUUUCAAUUAUUCCGACUCUUUCCGUAAGUAAUGUUAUUUAAAACAUUAGAUUAUUAUUUUAUAAAUUCAGCAAUAAUUUAUUAAAUUGAUAAUAAUAAUAAUAAUAAUAAUAAUAAUAAUAAUAAUAAUAAUAAUAAUAAUAAUAAUAUAAUAAAUAAGACGACAUGCUUAUCCAUAUGGUAUACAAGAAUACUAGCAAUUACCUUCAAAUUCAUUGGGUCGUUAUUCUAUUGAUAUUGGGAAUAAAGAGACAACAGUACGGCAGCACAAACCGUCGUUUGCUCUCAUCCAAAACGACCACGCUUCCAACUUUCGUUUCACUUUUACCUUUUUACGCUCAAACAAUUAGAAUCUGAAUUCAAAACAAGAAUGGGAAUUGGGAAAUUUUGAAGAUAAGCAUCGACCAUAGAUAAGGUGAAAUCUUUCGCUAACCCUUUUCUUCUUAAUUGCAGUUUCAUUCAGCUCAAUUUUCCCUAUAAUUUCUUCUCUUAAUGCGUUUUUUCCUUCCAAUUUUCCAUCUUUAUCGUUUAAUUCACACGGGUUUUGCACUUUUGCUCCGUUUUCUAUACUACCUUUAAAUUAAGUUUGAUCUUAACUCCUUCGUUUUAAAAAUUUUAACUUUUUCUCACUUUGACAGUUGAAGCCCCUAAAUCACUUCGUUUCCUUGUCACUUAUAAGUGUAUGAACAUUGUUUAUGUGUUUAAUCUCAAAUUGGUGUUUGGGGUUAAUUGAUUGUGUAGUGUGAGAAAUUUAGAAGGUUUGCUAGUACUACAUGAAUGAAUGUGCUUUAUUGAGAAGUUGAUUCUAAUCAGUGUGAGAAAUUGGUGUUUGGGGUUAAGAUUUGUAUUAGUUUACUUAUGAGUAAGGAAAAUUAAAGGGGGUUUAUCAUUGUCAAUUGUUUAUUUUUUUCUACAAUAUUUUGAUGACUAUCACAUGUAGUAGAAGCAUGGUCCGGGAUAGAACAUUAUGGCAGUAGUUGGUCCAUAUAGCCGACCUCACUUAGUGGGAUGAGUUUUGGUUGUUGUUGUUGUAUAAUUUUCCUAUGGUCUUAUUUCCAACUUAAGCAGUAAUGGAACAUCACAUACGAUUAAACUUAAUGGAGAAAAAUAACAUUUUGGUAGUUUUAAAAUAGGGUUGGUUCUAUGAAUUUGAUUGCUGAGAAGUUAGGUGAUUAUUCUAUGAAGUUAAAUACCUUUAUCUGAAAAAAUGUGUAGGGACAAACUAUCAAGCUGUGGUUUUUGGAGGCGACAAAGAUUACUGCUUGAAGAGUUGUAGUAAACUACUUACUUUAUUUUGAUAGUUUUGGUUCUCCAAGGCUGAAAUAAGUUGUCUAAGUAUCUAACCUUUGAUUUGAUUGUUUUGCAUUUUUCGGAACUUAUGUGUCUCCUGCCAAAGGUCUGAAGUUGAACUGAUGGAGUGUACACCUGCUAGAAAGACGCAGAAAGCUGAUCGAGAAAAGUUAAGGAGGGAUCGACUCAAUGAACAGUUUGUAGAACUGGGUAACAUCUUAGGUAAAUGAAACUUCACUUUCUUUACAUAGGAGAGUAGCAAAGAGUAAGCAGACUGAUGAAAAACAUCACUGGUUCUUUAUAUAUUCUAUUAUUAUUUCUUGCUUUCUGAUGAUAUACCACUUCCAGAUUCCCAUUGGUUAGAUAAUGUAUUACUAAUGAAGCACUAUAACCGACACUUGGUUAUUUUAUUGUUAUACAAAUGUUGGCAUCGUUUACAUGUGGCAAAGAUUCCUUAAGUUUAUAGAUGCUGAUAAAUUUUACCAAACUAUUGUUGGUUGUUGGUUCUCUAGAAUUCAUCCUUGUGUUAGGAAUUUGAUGCUUAGAACUAAUAAAAUAGAAUUCCUAUUAAAUCACUAUGUGCCUUUGCUGACUCUGAAAUGCAGACCCUGAUAGACCCAAAAAUGAUAAAGCAACCAUUCUAGGGGAUACAGUUCAAUUGCUGAAGGACCUUACUUCUCAAGUUAGUAAACUAAAAGAUGAAUAUACUAUGCUAAAUGAAGAAUCUCGUGAGGUAAUACUAUCACAGUUUGAUAAAUCACCUUGAUGCUUUUGGGACCUAAAGUUACUGAAGAAAUUAUUUUGUUUCUUUCAAUUUUCAGUUGUCUCAGGAGAAAAAUGAUCUCAGAGAAGAAAAGGCUUCUCUUAAAUCAGAUAUUGAGAAUUUGAAUAACCAGUAUCAGCUGCAACUCAGGACUAUGAAUCCAUGGCCUGCAAUGGAUCAUUCAGUAAUGAUGGUUCCACCGUCAUAUCCGUAUCCAGUUCCAAUGCCUGUACCUCCCGGUUCAAUUCCAAUGCAGCCGUACCCCUACUAUGCUAACCAACAUCCUACAAUCAUCCCUAACCCGUGUUCGACAUAUGUUCCGUUUUUAGCCCCCAACACAAUUGUUGAACAGCAAUCCACACAGUACGUAUCCCCGCCUCUUCAUCCAGGUAGCCGGUCCCACAUAUCAGGAAAACCAGAAUCCAAAAACAAAUCAUCAAGGGAGAGCAGAGCUGAAAGAAAUGCAGAUUCUAAUGAUGUCGCCACAGACCUUGAGUUGAAGACUCCUGGGUCUUCUGCAGAUCAGGUUUGUGCUAUAAAAAAGUUCCGGAAAUCUCUUAACCUACAUCUAUAGUAAAAUAGGUAUUGGAUUAAAGUCGUGUAUUUUCUCGGAUUUUGCAGGAUUUAUCAUCCGCACAGAAAAAAUCUAGAAAGUCUCCUUCGAGGAAGGAAAACAGUUACACAGAAGGUAGUUCUUUAGGCAAGUGUUCUUCAUCUCACAGUGUUCAGGAUAGCUCAUCAAGUAGUGUAGUUGGUAGCAGAAAGGCUAGUGAAUGAGAAAGGAUAUAAUGUUAGACAAGUGAUUAUGCUUUUUGGAACUACUAUGAUGAGGGUUUUCACUUUGCUUCUGCUGCAGCUAUUCUAGAGGUAUAUGUCACAUUUACUCUUGUCCGAAAAGAAAGCUGCUUCUGUUCUCUCUUCCUGACUAGGAAUUUAUAUUUUGAGUACUGUGUAAUUUAAUCAUAAACUACUUUUCCUUGUGAUGGAAAAGCUUCACAGGUUCAAUUGUUUAUAUUCCUACUUGUGAAAAAUUGAAAUUGCAGAUGGAAAAUGUCCAAUUUGAGACCAGUGUGACUAAUGUGUAGGCUUGUAAAUCUCUUAUUCACAAACUCUACUAAAAAGACCAUGCCUAUUUUAUCUAAUGUAUGUUUGAAUUAUAGUUGAAGAUGUUUAACGUACGUUUGGACUCAACAUUUAUAGAGUUCCUUUGUGUCAAACAUAAAAGAAAAAUUGUAACAGAAAUCCAAAUACACCAGGUCUAGACAAUGGACAAUGCUAUCUAGACAAUUGAAUUUUUUUAUUAUAAAAUUCCAGACAUUAUUAAUACCAAUAUUAAAUUUAAGAAUUGUUUUCAAGUUUAUUGAAUUUGAAUGAUUCACCUGGUUGAAUUGAAAAUGUGGUUUUGGCACCAACAUGGUGUGACACAAAUGAUAGACAUUUAGAUUCAAAAAGAUUUUGGCAGUUUUUUUUUUUCUUUCUCGAAAUUGAAUUGUGUUUAAUAAGGCCUAUGAUAAUUAUCUGUUCUCAUUCUUCUCAAUCAAGAAAAUUCUUUUGUACUCUUCCAGAAAAGGUAAAAGAAACACUAGUACCAGACACUUACAAGUUCUAGCACAGACCAAAAUAUGUUAAUAGGUCUUAAGUUACACUCAAAGAAUAUAUGCCAAAACCCAAAACCAACCUUAUAUCAGAAGUAAAAGAAGUUCAUAACCUCUUAUAUAAACCUUAGAGAACAACAAAGUCCUAAUGUGUUGUUCAUGACAUAGUCUGUUUUUCUGAGUGAGAUAAAGAAAGAUUCACAUGGGGUGGUUGUUCUCCAAGAAGAGGAAUGUAGAAUGGAAACACGGAUACACAGAGCACAACAUGGCACCUGUUUCUUCUCCUUCACCAACUCUUCAUCUGUUUGUGAUAUUUGGCAUUGUUAUUAGCUUGUUGUGGCUCUCCCAUUACAAAUUUAUUUAGAUAUGUAACAAUCCUUACUCAUUUUUCUGUAUGUCACUGUCUGAAAGUUUACUAAAAAUUACAUUAUAGUACCUUUUUUUUUAAUGAUUUGUGCUGAAUAUGUCAUGUAAAAAUGUUAUUUGAAGUUGAGCUUAUAAGAAUAAUAAUAAGACUUGUGAGAAUAACCAAACCUUUCAGAGAAACUCCAUGAUUUCAUAACAUCUAAAUAGUUACAAACAAGACUAUGGGAUAUGUAUCACAUAUUCAUACUUCAUAGUUUAUAGAAACCAAAAACAUAGAGGCUAAAACCAAACCAACCUACAGAAAUUACAAAAACAAGUAAAGUAAAACAAGGAUUACAAAUCAAUAAAACCAACCCUCAAGAAAAGAAGAUUGAAACUGCACCAAUAGCAACAAAACAACAAUCAAAGCAGCCACACCCCAUGGAGAGCUCCCUUCUGAGGGGGUUUGGUAGGUUGUCCUGCGCCUUCCCCAUAUGGAAGAACCAGGAAACCAUUCUGAAUCAUCCAUUGAUGAUAACAAACGAACUAUAAGUAUGAGAACCACUGGUGUGGCAAAUAACACCCAACCCAAUUGUUCUUGAGCAUUUUCAACAGCUUCUUCAUAGGAAAAGUACCAUGAACUACCAAGGAAGAUGAAGAUCACUGCUAAGAUUAACAGAACAGGAUAUGGCAGGGGAUUCAGAGUGAAUCCAUCCAAAACAGAGGAACCUCUGUUUCCUUCAUAAGCCAUUGAGUCUUAUGGUUUUCUUGAGUAUUAGAAUUCAGAAGUAUGGAUAUUUUAAGAAACCACUGAUAUAUAGUAAGUCAAAGAAUUAGAGAUAGUGUUGUGUUGGCAGGUAGAAAAUUCAAAAAGAGGUUUCAGGAUUUCCUUCCUUAAAAGUAGUGAAUGGUGUUGUAGAAGGACAUAACAUAAUAUAGCAAGAUAAUGUUGUUUAUCUUUUCAAGCUAUAAUUAACUAUUGAUUAUGACCUUUAAUGAUACACGAUUUUCCAUAUAAACAGUACUAGUUGUAUAAACAUGUUUGUUACUGUCAAUAAUUACAUGUACAUUACAGAUUAGUAGUGUUAAUAAAAGCAUAUCAAAAGUUUGAUUUUCUUUGAUGUCACUUUGGCCCAUUUCCUACUCAGAAGAUUUGUAUUGUACCUACUACAGUAGGUUUUAAAAAAGAAAAAGUGAUAACCUCCAACACAAGAACACUAUUUACAUUUCUAACGCAACAUGGGUGUCUCUUUCAGCCGACUCAUCCAAGUGCUUUCCUACCACUGCUGCAAGAAUUUAACUUUUGCAAGUAAUGUAUAGUCCACUUAAAUGCCGACAUCAUUUUAGACUGGUUCACAUAGCUAUCAUAUUGUGGUGAUGUGUGGUAAAUGAGCCACUUUAAGAUGCUGGGUGGUGAUUAUUGAUUUAACCAUUACCUACUAAUAAAAUGAACUUAGUUGUCUCCUUUUUCUUACACUCUCUCAUUGAAUACAAAAAUCAAUGCAUUUCCCCCUGUCUUGUAACUUGUUUAACACCAAAAAGUGAAGAAGACACAGACAUAUAAAAUAUAACAUUAUAUAGAGACUCAAAUAACAAGCACAGAUAAUGGGGUGAUAGAACAAAAUACAAACAAUUCAAUCAUCACCCACCACCAAGCUCUUGGACAAACACUGCCUACCAGUAACAGUAGCAAGCAUGGGUGCAGUGACAGUAUCUUGGCUUGGCACAAACCCUUUUCCUAGAACUUCCCAACCAUGACACCAAAAGCAAGAUCAGAAUUACAAUUAUUGGUACUACAAAAGGUGAGGAACCACUCUCUUCUUCAGCUUCUUCCUCUUGUUCACCAGAGAAGAUCUUUGGUAUAGCCAAAAGAAUCAACGCCACAGCCAAGAUCAGAACAACAUUUGAAGUAUGAGCAUCAUUAGCCCUGGGUUUACAAUAGUAAUAACCCAUCAAUUGAUUAGAAUAGAAGCCUCAGAAAAUGGGAUGGAUGAGUUUAUAGAAGGGAUUCACAAUGAUGAAGUUGGAGGAUACAAUGAUGACAAGGGAAUUGCCCCAACCAUAUCAACAUGGAAUUUUAUAAAAACAGGUGGAAUCUAAACAAAAACGGAUAAUUAUUCAUAACAUUAUUGUCCACCACAUAACUUUUUGGUAGUUGCUCAUUUAAUAUUAUCUUUUUAGUUAGGCUAUCACAUUCCGUGAGAAAGAAGAUAAUAUCAUCACACAUACACAACGGUGGGGUCAAUAUAGCAUUUAUAGAAAAUUUGACUUAAGGCUGUGUUUGCCGUUUGGUAUGAAGUGUAUGAUUCCAAUACUUCUAUUUUAACAUAAAAUAAUUAUAGUACAGAUUAUCAUUUGAUCAUUCACAAGAACAUAAAAAAUGAUUUAUUUGUUUGUACUAAUUAACCAAAAGGUAAAUCCACAUUCCGGACUCACUAUUUCUGUGACUCAGAAUUGACUUUUACGGAGUGUAGAAGUUUAAUUUGUCUUAUAUCACUAUCACUAUAUAGGAAAAACAGGAAAAAUAUUCUAAUGUCAGAACUU
rnacentral:lncRNA from 1 species